rnacentral:misc_RNA from 1 species
AAGUCGUAACAAGGUUUCCGUAGGUGAACCUGCGGAAGGAUCAUUAAUAAUUAAAUUUUGGCUGGUUUCUUGGAACUGGUUGAAUAUCUUGUGAACUGGGAGGUCUCCAUUUUUGGGUUUUUGGUAAGGGGAUUUCUGAUUUUUGUACUCUAGUGAUUAUUUUCUAUAUAAAGAAAUAAAAAUGACAACUUUCAGCAAUGGAUCUCUUGGCUCUU